rnacentral:misc_RNA from 1 species
CUAAUGACGAGUUUGUGUGUGAAUCUAAUGAGUUAAGGAGUUUGCGUGAGGAUCUAAGGAGUUCACUCUGUUUCUCAUCUAUACAUUAUACAUGCCAUGUAUGGGCUUAUGUCAGAUCAGAAUUUAUUUUGGUUCUGUUUAGGUGUUGAUCCAGUUUAACAUUUGCAUUAUAUCUUAAGCCUUGGGGUUGAGUUGAGCAAGAAGUGAGUCUAUGUUCUACUUUGUGAUGUGAAUAAAAAGAAUGGUGCCUGCGUUGUAAUCUUGAAAUUUACUAUUACAAUUUUCUUUACAAGAAUGUAGUUAUGAUUUGAAGUCGGAUUAA